rnacentral:rRNA from 1 species
UACGUAGGGGGCAAGCGUUGUCCGGAAUUAUUGGGCGUAAAGGGCGCGUAGGCGGCCUGCUAAGUCGGACGUGAAAUCCCUCGGCUCAACCGGGGAACUGCGUCCGAUACUGGUGGGCUCGAAUCCGGGAGAGGGAUGUGGAAUUCCAGGUGUAGCGGUGAAAUGCGUAGAUAUCUGGAGGAACACCGGUGGCGAAGGCGGCAUCCUGGACCGGUAUUGACGCUGAUGCGCGAAAGCCAGGGGAGCAAACGGG